UGGGCCCUUAGGGAGGGGGUCUCCCGGACGCCUGGGCCCCUGGUGGGCGCAGUAUCCCCCGGACGCCUGGGCCCCUGGGGCGGGCGCGGGUGCCUCCCGGACGCCUGGGCCCCUCCCGGACGCCUGGGCCCCGCAGAUCCCGGCGGCGCUGGUGCCGCACUACUGCGAGCUGGUGGCGGCCGAGCCCGGCGCCCGGCCCGGCCCUGCCCAGCUGCUGCAGCGCUGCCGCCGCCCCGGCGCCUUCCUCGACUCCGACUUCGUCGCCACCAACCUCUUCCUCGAGGAGAUCCAGAUCAAGGACGCGGCCGAGCGCCACGAGUUCCUGCAGGGCCUCGGCCGCCGCCUCGACGCCUUCCCGGCCGCCUUCUGCCGCCACAAGGUGCUGCCGCAGCUGCUGACGGCCGUGGAGUUCGGCAGCGCCGGCGCCGCCGUCCUCCCGCCCCUCUUCAAGGCGGGGAGGCUGCUGGAGCCGCCCGAGUACCAGGAGCGCAUCGUCCCCGUCAUCGUCAAGCUCUUCUCGUCCCCCGACCGGGCCCUGCGCAUCCGCCUCCUGCAGCAGGUAGGCGCCGGGGCGGCGCGCGCCCGGACGCCUGGGCCCUGCCCGCAAGGUCCCCCC
rnacentral:lncRNA from 1 species